UUGAUGAUGAUACCGAUCCAUUAGGCAAAGAGAUAAAAGACCUUAUCUUGAAGGACUUAUCUGCACAAGAUGCAAUGGACCGAGAAAAAAAAAUGGUGGUGAUGAUCAAGAAGAAGAGAAUUAGCCACAACAACAAUCUCAAUAUAGAAAUGACUUACCUAGGGAAUGAAGGUAUGUUAAUAACCAUCCCAAAUAACUUAUUAUUGAUGUUCCAUCGCGUCGGACAAGAACAAGAUAAUUUAUGAAAGAUAUCUGUAAUUAUUUAGUUUUUAUUU
rnacentral:lncRNA from 1 species